rnacentral:rRNA from 1 species
UGGGGAAUCUUGGACAAUGGGGGCAACCCUGAUCCAGCCAUGCCGCGUGAGUGACGAAGGCCCUAGGGUCGUAAAGCUCUUUCGCCUGUGAAGAUAAUGACGGUAGCAGGUAAAGAAACCCCGGCUAACUCCGUGCCAGCAGCCGCGGUAAUACGGAGGGGGUUAGCGUUGUUCGGAAUUACUGGGCGUAAAGCGCGCGUAGGCGGACUAUUAAGUCAGGGGUGAAAUCCCGGGGCUCAACCCCGGAACUGCCUUUGAUACUGGUAGUCUUGAGUUCGAGAGAGGUGAGUGGAAUUCCGAGUGUAGAGGUGAAAUUCGUAGAUAUUCGGAGGAACACCAGUGGCGAAGGCGGCUCACUGGCUCGAUACUGACGCUGAGGUGCGAAAGUGUGGGGAGCAAACAGGAUUAGAUACCCCCGUAGUCC